UGUCCAGGGAUGGGAAUCGAACCCACAGUGUUCUGCUUACCAGGCAGAUGCCAUGUCCACUAUGCCAUUUUUCUAC
rnacentral:tRNA from 1 species